rnacentral:rRNA from 1 species
UGGGGAAUCUUGCACAAUGGGGGAAACCCUGAUGCAGCGACGCCGCGUGAGCGAUGAAGGUUUUCGAUUCGUAAAGCUCUGUCCUAUGGGAAGAUAAUGACGGUACCAUGGGAGGAAGCCCCGGCUAACUACGUGCCAGCAGCCGCGGUAAUACGUAGGGGGCGAGCGUUGUCCGGAAUUACUGGGCGUAAAGGGUUCGCAGGCGGAAUGGCAAGUCCGAUGUAAAAGGCGAAGGCUCAACCUUCGUAAGCAUCGGAAACUGUCAAGCUUGAGUGAAGGAGAGGCAAGUGGGAUUCCUAGUGUAGCGGUGGGAAGCGUAGAUAUUAGGAGGAAUACCGGUGGCGAAAGCGACUUGCUGGACUUCAACUGACGCUGAGGAACGAAAGCGUGGGUAGCAAGCAGG